UUGCUUUUCGUUUUAUCAUUUGUUCAGACUUCAAGAUUCGCGUGGGUUUGUGAGGCCGGCCGCGGGGUCCACCCGCCAAAUCAAUGGGGGGCUCUCCCGGGGCCGAAACGAUGUGAGUUGCUUGCGCGUCUCAUGACAAAGGGCGGGUUGCGGGCGCGAGGCCCAGACCCAGUAAUGAUCCUUCCGCAGGUUCACCUACGGAAA
rnacentral:misc_RNA from 1 species